rnacentral:rRNA from 1 species
ACUCCUACGGGAGGCAGCAGUGGGGAAUAUUGGACAAUGGGCGCAAGCCUGAUCCAGCAAUGCCGCGUGAGUGAUGAAGGCCUUAGGGUUGUAAAGCUCUUUCGACGGGGACGAUGAUGACGGUACCCGUAGAAGAAGCCCCGGCUAACUUCGUGCCAGCAGCCGCGGUAAGACGAAGGGGGCUAGCGUUGUUCGGAAUUACUGGGCGUAAAGCGCGCGUAGGCGGCUCUUCAAGUCAGGCGUGAAAGCCCCGGGCUUAACCCGGGAAUAGCGUUUGAUACUGUUGGGCUUGAGUCCGGGAGAGGAUAGUGGAAUUCCCAGUGUAGAGGUGAAAUUCGUAGAUAUUGGGAAGAACACCAGUGGCGAAGGCGGCUAUCUGGACCGGAACUGACGCUGAGGCGCGAAAGCGUGGGGAGCAAACAGGAUUAGAUACCCUGGUAGUCCACGCCGUAAACGAUGAGUGCUAGACGUUGGGGAGCUUGCUCUUCAGUGUCGUAGCUAACGCGAUAAGCACUCCGCCUGGGGAGUACGGCCGCAAGGUUAAAACUCAAAGGAAUUGACG